rnacentral:piRNA from 1 species
UAUGUGUCUGAAUGCAGUUUCUGCUGG